rnacentral:lncRNA from 1 species
CCAUGCAGGGAGCGCCCCAAAGGUGGCGCUAAACUGCUGAGCCACUCAGGCUGCCCCCAAAAUUGUUCUUUUGAGGUUUGAUUUGAAACUCAUGCUCCUCGUUAAUAGAGACAACAGGAAGAUGGGAGACCUAUCUUUGAAAACAGCUUGUUAUGAGCUGGGGAAACAGCUUAAAUAUUCAACAUAGAUGUGGAAUUAAAAGCAAAGCCAGGCGAGAAAUGAGGUCAGGUCUGGAAUUAUGUAUCUGUUAGUAGUUUCAGAUUCACUAACUGGAAAGCGACAAUAUGCUUGUUCUCUAGCAGUUUUAUGAAAGACAAAUCAGUAUAGAGUUGAAACAGGAUUUUAACUUUUGAUUUUUAUACUAAUUUCAGUAUUUUUCUUCUUCUUAAAUUUAGCCAUGUUGAUAUCCCUGUGUAAUACUUGAGUCAGAGUACAACUAGCUAUUUUCACAUAUCAGAUUCUUCCCUUGACAUGAAGAAACAGCAGAGUAGGAAAGAAUUCCUUUGGGGACAGAGCAUGCAUUGUAGUGUUUUUUGUUUGUUUGUUUUUUUGUUUUGUUUUGUUUUUGUUGUUUUAAUGAAAAUUAUCCAGGCAGAAAUUGGUAGUCAGUUAAGAUGUCUGUUUUGGUUGGCAAUCAGCAUGUUUAGUCUAAGAGGCAGGGAACUUUGGGUUCAGAGAUAAGGCCUGAAGGUACAUUGCCUUCAAACUGAGAGACAGCAAAAAAACUGGUGGAACAGGCAAUGAUUGCUUCAGGUGUAUUUCAUUGAGCUUGUCUGAGUUUUACCUACUCAACUGGAAUCUGUUGCAAGUGUGAAAUGUGUGCAUGUUCUUCUUUAUACACAUUUAUUUCUAGCCCUAGGUUCAUAAGCAGUACUUGAGGUCAGUGUGGCAAGAGAGAGUAAUUUAGCAGUUCUUUUGGAAGUUAAAAUUGAGCUUUCCAAAGUGGAGAAUGGAAUGUGUACAGGCCACUCUGGAGAACCUCUCCAGCUUUUUUUUUUUUUUUCCCUUCUCACUCUUGUCCCUUCCAUGCUUCAUUCAACAAAUAUUUAUUUAAUCUAUGGAAUUCAGUAUAGUAGUUAAGAUCAAGUAUUACCAUUGGACAGAUCUAAUUUCCAAUCUCUUACACCUCAGUUUCUUUAUCACUAAAAUGGGGAUAAAAAUAGUAUUUCUAGUGGUGGUAUUUUUAGCACUUAGCAUGGUGCCUGGUAGAAAAAAAGUGCUUAAUAAUCAUGUCACCUAUUUAUUUUUUCAAUGAUGAAACAGAGAUAGCAAUAAAUUACACAAUUAACUGAAAUUAUUAUUAUUAGUCUUAAGUGUGGUUUCCCCUAGAAAUGAUUUCUAAAUUGGGAGCAGGAAGAAGAAAAACUGAAGUUUUCUCUGGGAAAUUUGUGUAUCUUCUCUUUCUUUUUUUCUGGUAGUGGGCUUCCCUCACCAAAAGCAAAAUAGGAGAUAGGAAUUUCCAUUUUGGGGAUAUAGGUAAGCAAGAGGAAGGGGUCUAUGGAAGGAGGAGGGCAUGCAUAUUGGACCAGAACUGAGGAUGGGCACCCAGGAGCAGGCUAGGAGGAGCUAUCAUGAUGUUCAUGAUAAGGAGAGCUUAUUGAAAUUCAGCCAAAGAAUUGACUCAGAGUUGGUGUUAAAAUUGUUAAGAGGGUUAUUCAGGAGUCCAGUAGGGUAGGAUUUGACCCGUCUUCAAUGAGUAGGCAGACUGUGCCAUCAGAGUGUGGCUCUUUAGAUGUAUUUAGAUCUUAGCAUUGAAAAGCACUGAAAAGAUCUGUGUUUCCUAGACCCCUUAUUUAAAAUUAAAAAUAGCCAGCAAAUCAUAAAACAUAAAAUGUACAUGAUCACUGGAAGUGAAAUGAUUUUUACUUUAGAUUUUUUUUCUUUUCUGGAUGGAUUUAUUGAAGAUGAACAUUUUUGUGUGUCUGUACCUUGCUGUUGUCCUGAGCAUGUGUGUAGUCUGCUUUUGUUGGAUAAUAAUAUAGCACUACUCCCAAGCCUCAAGUCAAAACUGGUUUAGCAGAGACAGACCCAGGCGCCUAGACUCAAGAAUAGUCAUCACAUAGAGACGGUUAUCUUAGUUUGUGUUCCCCAAAUUGUUAUUUCUAGGAAUCAUCUUCCACACAAAUUAGUUGCAUUCAGACCUUUAUCUCAAGAUAAGCUUCUGGAAGAACCCAGCAUUAGUUGGAAAUGAGGUAUUAGGAAGCAGAACUGGAAUUAGAUCACUAACCUGCUAGUUUGAGGCAAGGGAUCCAUGACUGAGAAUGAGGGUGCUAGCAAGAACUCUCGAUGAUCUGUAAUAUCACAAUUAUGAAUAGUGUUACCUGUGAUGAAUUGGGAUAAAGUAUAGGUGGAGAGGGGAUGGACUGGCUCAUGCAGUAACUCUAUACUUGAAAUAUACAGGGGCAAUAAUAAUUAUAAGUUGGAUGGCUAUUGUUAAUGGUCACUGAAGUCCUGAAGGAACAAUAUAACAGACUCAGGUCAACCAAAUAAUUAUCUUAAGAUAUGAUGUGAAAACUAGAAGUUUUCCAUAAUAACUUUUAUUUUUUACUUAUUUAAGAAAAAAUCAAAAGAUUUAUUUAUUUUGGAGAGAGAGUGAGCACUAGUGAGGAAGAGGGGCAGAAAGAGAGGUAGAAAGAGAAUCUCAAACAGACUCUGCACUGAGCACAGAUUCUGAACUGGGGCUCCGUCCCCUGACCCAUGAGAUCAUGACCUGAGCUGAAACUGAGAGUUGGAUGCUUAACUGACUAAACCACCCAGGCAUGCCUCCAUGAUAACUUUUUAAAGAGCAUUUCCAGCAGCCAGAAAACAGAUUGUGCUAAAUACCAGGCACAAGACUUGAUUGUAAGGGUAGAUAUAUUACAAAAAAAAAAAAAAA